GACGAACGCUGGCGGCGUGCCUAAUACAUGCAAGUCGAACGCAGUGGGGACGGGGGAGUAACACGUGGGUAACCUCCCAUCAGAGGGGAUAACACUUGGAAACAGGUGCUAAACCGAUACGGGUGGAUGGACUCGCGGGGAAUUAGCUUGUAGGGGAGGUAACGGCUUACCAAGGCCACGAUGCAUAGCCGGCCUGAGAGGAUGAUCAGCCACACGGGGACUGAGACACGGACCAGACUCCUACGGGAGGCAGCAGUGGGGAAUAUGGGACAAUGGGCGCAAGCCUGAUGCAGCCAUGCCGCGUGUAUGAAGAAGGCCUUAGGGUUGUAAAGUACUUUCAGCCGGGAGGCGUUACCCGCAGAAGAAGCACCGGCUAACUCCGUGCCAGCCGCCGCGGUAAUAC
rnacentral:rRNA from 1 species